UACGUAGGGGGCAAGCGUUGUCCGGAAUCAUUGGGCGUAAAGCGCGUGUAGGCGGCCAGGUAAGUCCGUUCUGAAAGCCCGGGGCUCAACCCCGGGAGGCGGAUGGAUACUGCUUGGCUCGAGUCCGGAGAGGCGAGUGGAAUUCCCGGUGUAGCGGUGAAAUGCGCAGAGUAUCGGGAGGAACACCAAUGGCGAAGGCAGCUCGCUGGGACGGUACUGA
rnacentral:rRNA from 1 species